ACGGUCAGCCAAUCAGAGGGCCGCUGUGGUUCCAAUAUCGAGAAUCAGACUUUGUGGUGACUUCUGUCAUCCAAUCAGAGGCCGGAUUUGUUCCAAUAUUCCUCCAGGACCCUCCCCUGUCACUGGAACCUGCUGAACGGUGCGGACGGAGCUCCCAGGGGCACAUGGGAAGUUCUGUGUGACGAGUCUUUACAUCAGGACGAGAGGAAACAACCUGUUCAGGUCAGUGUUGGUUCCACCACCUCCACCAGAGGUGCUGUCACACUCACAUCCUCAACUACCUCCAUUUCUGCUGCUGCUUUGUCCAGUGUGGGCUAAAGAAGAUCAAGAAGACAGACACAGAGACGUAAAGAGGACUGGUAGGAGCCUGGACUACUUUCCUGCUGCAAAAGAACAGGACCCACAUGAACGGACGGCCUCAAUCACCUGAAACAGAGCUGUGCUCCUCCAACUCCUCCACUGGUUGUUAAACAGGCUGCUCCUCAAGUACAGUUUCUGUGACUGAGGUUGUUGUGAAGUGUGAACACUCAGUAAACUCUAUACAUGCUCACAGCUCUGACUCUACCUCCCCUGCAGCAAGACGCAGCCACUAAGGCUGUUUGUGAAGGCUUCAUCAGAUUGUUGUUUCAUAUAUAUAUAUUUUUUUAAAUAUGCACAAUGCCAAGUGCAGCAACAACGACAAAAAAACAUGACUACAUCACACAAAUAAAGUAGAGAACUAAAUAAAGGUGGUUGAAGUUGCUUUUUCCAUUGACAGUAGGUCUAGAAAGUCUUUCAGCCAGUUAUGUUUACUAAAGCGUCCGGUUUGCGUAUCUUCCAAUUCAUAAGUAUGAUCCUCUUCACAGAGAGAAAAGCUAGAGCAGUGAUUUGUUGAGUGAUUCUUGAAUUUAAAUCUGCGACUCUACUUCCCAAUAAGCAUAAAGUGGGACAUUGAGGAACAUUAACAUUCAAUACACCUUUUAAAAGAUCAAUUACUUCAGACCAGAGUCGUUCUACUGCCGGGCAGAACCAUAGUAGAUGCAUCAAAGUACCAGGUUCACCACAGCCACAGUUCAGAGACGUUUGCGUCCAUUUUUUUUUUUUAACUUAUGUGGUGUAAUAUAAGCUCUCUGUACAAGUUUAAUUUGAAUAAUUUCAUAUC